ACGGGUCUUUAUUUGGGACUUUUGAACUGAAUAUUUACAUAAAAAUUUAAACUAAGUAAAUAAAUAAAUAAAUAAAUAAAUAAAUAAAUAAAUAAAUAUAAAACUUUACAACUUGGGCCACUUUGACAAUUUGGCCUGAUUUUCGACUAAGUAUGAGUGGAUUUCUUGAUUGGGCUUGGAAUCUUUUUAUUGGGCCUUGCCUUCAAGAAUUUGGGAUUGUGAUCUAUCUCCUACCGAAAUUGAAUCGUUGAUGCUCGUAACGGAGAUCCAAUGCGCUUUGGCUGCAAGAUUUGGUUUCUUGGACCAAGAUUCCCAAGAGUUGAAAUCUUGAUUUUCCCGUUCUUUCAUGUACGCAUCUAAGGUCUUGCUAACAAACUCCUGAAUGGUCUCAUUUAGUUUGGAACGCAUUUGUCGGGCCUUUGAUCUCGUAUCACGC
rnacentral:lncRNA from 1 species